GGGCCUGUAGUUUAGUGGUAGAACGCUGCUUUUGCAAAGCAGAGAUCGCGGGUUCGAUUCCCGCCAGGUCCA
rnacentral:tRNA from 1 species